AACGAACGCUGGCGGCAUGCCUAACACAUGCAAGUCGAACGAUCCCUUCGGGGAUAGUGGCGCACGGGUGCGUAACGCGUGGGAAUCUGCCCUUGGCUUCGGAAUAACAGUUAGAAAUGACUGCUAAUACCGGAUGAUGUCUUCGGACCAAAGAUUUAUCGGCCAGGGAUGAGCCCGCGUAGGAUUAGGUAGUUGGUGGGGUAAAGGCCUACCAAGCCGACGAUCCUUAGCUGGUCUGAGAGGAUGAUCAGCCACACUGGGACUGAGACACGGCCCAGACUCCUACGGGAGGCAGCAGUGGGGAAUAUUGGACAAUGGGCGCAAGCCUGAUCCAGCAAUGCCGCGUGAGUGAUGAAGGCCUUAGGGUCGUAAAGCUCUUUUACCCGGGAUGAUAAUGACAGUACCGGGAGAAUAAGCUCCGGCUAACUCCGUGCCAGCCGCCGCUAAAA
rnacentral:rRNA from 1 species